rnacentral:rRNA from 1 species
AACGCGAAGAACCUUACCUGGGCUCGAACGGCUGCUGAACGGUGGUAGAAAUACUGCCUUUCCCGCAAGGGACAGUAGUCGAGGUGCUGCAUGGCUGUCGUCAGCUCGUGUCGUGAGAUGUUGGGUUAAGUCCCGCAACGAGCGCAACCCUUGUCCUGUGUUGCUAACCGUAAGGUGCACUCUCAGGAGACCGCCAGCGAUAAGUUGGAGGAAGGUGGGGAUGACGUCAAGUCAUCAUGGCCUUUAUGUCCAGGGCUACACACGUGCUACAAUGGACGGUACAAAGCGCUGCCAACCCGCGAGGGGGAGCUAAUCGCAAAAAACCGUUCUCAGUUCGGAUUGCAGGCUGCAACUCGCCUGCAUGAAGCUGGAAUCGCUAGUAAUGGCAUAUCAGAACGAUGCCGUGAAUACGUUCCCGGGCCUUGUACACACCGCAUAC